rnacentral:rRNA from 1 species
AUUGAACGCUAGCGGGAUGCUUUACACAUGCAAGUCGAACGAGUGGCGGACGGGUGAGCAAUAUAUCGGAACGUGCCCAGUAGCGGGGGAUAACUACUCGAAAGAGAGGCUGCUUCCGCAUACUAUUGGAGCGGCCGAUUUCGGAUUAUGUAGUUGUUGGGGUAAAGGCUCACAAAGGCAACGAUCCGUAGCUGGUCUGAGAGGACGACCAGGCACACUGGGACGGAGACACGGCCCAGACUCCUACGGGAGGCAGCAGUGGGGAAUUUUGGACAAUGGGGGAAACCCUGAUCCAGCCAUCCCGCGUGUAUGAGAAGGCCUUCGGGUUGUAAAGUACUUUUGGCAGAGAAGCGGUAUCUGCAGAAUAAGCACCGGCUAACUACGUGCCAGCAGCCGCGGUAAUUC